AUUAUUUGCCACCUUAUUCUCCAUUUCUGGUGAUGUGAAAUUUAAAAUAACACAAAACAAUUGUUUUCAGUGCCAUUGCAUGGAAUUAAUGGCCAUUUUUAUCUUAUCCACAUAGACGAAUUUAGCACAAAGAGCUCUUUGCCAGGUGCUGUGAGGGAUACAAAGAGGCAGAAUAACAGGAUCUGUUCCUUCUGCGAGUUUGGUUGGUUUCUCUUUGUACCACUGUGUUGAUACAUGCAGCAACAGUAGUGAUAAGCUACUGAGGUCAGAGCUAAGUACUCGUGUGCACUUUAGCUCACUUAAUCUUUACAACCACCCGAUUAGUUGGACAUUGACACUGUAUCUAUAUAUAGAUGAGGGUAUUGAGGGGCAGCAAUAUUAAUUUUCCAUGGUCAGAAUUUAUAGUGGAACUAGACAUUUGAAGGCAAUUCUGAUGCUAUAGUUCUUUUUUAACCACUGCAUCACCAUGUCUGCUCCAUAAAAAUGGAGAGCAUGAACCCAUUACAUGGGAUCCAAAGGACGCAUCUACAUUUACUUGAAGGCCAAAUGAUUUUAAGUACUUAGUGUUUUAACUGCUCUUUGCUUGUGUAGAAUAGACUGAAUAAAACUCUCCAGCUUAUUACUCAAUGCAGAGAAUUCACAGCUCCUGUCUGGUAAAACUGGGGUGGGAAUAUAAUUAGAGCCCUGAAUACUGGUGUUACAUUUAACUCACGGAGGAUAGUACUUCAGUCCUGAUUUGCUAAAUUGUAGAUCAGUGACAAAACUGAUUUUAAUGCUUAAAGAGAAUACUAAGUUACUGGGUUUUGUUUGGUUGCUUGCAUUAAAUAGUGCAAAAGUUGCAACAGGAACCGAGAAGCUCCACCUGCAGAUGCCGAGUGGAUCAAAAUAAUUUCUGCUUCCAUGAGAGUGAGAAAGAAUUCCAGACAGAGAAAAAGGGCAUUUUUGCAGACAAACUGAGAAGGAAGAAAAAUAGUCAA
rnacentral:lncRNA from 1 species